ACCAUCAUCAUCAAUGUCAUCGGAGGUGCUGCUCGUCGGCGACCUUUGCAUCUGCGAGGGAACGCAGAUGUCUUACGUCGCGGUCCCGUAGCCGUCACAGAUGCAGCAGACCGGUGAUCGUUGGAGAUCCUAUCGAUCCGUUGGGUGCUGGUCUAUGUGGCGCCUUGUCGAGUCCAAGGGCACAGCAACCACGGCUUCAUCCGGCACCCAAGCAGCAAGACCACCCAAUGUGCCUGCUUCGUGAAUAGGCACAUUGCAGUAGCCACAUCUUCCCGGACUUGGAUGAACUGCAGGAUGCCUAAUGAUUUGUGGGCUUUACUUGCUGGUUCAAGUUCUUCAUGCUGUUUCACUAUCCAAAAGUCAUUUCAAGAGCAUAUGAUGAUGUGCCAGCAUGGAGUGGAAAAUACUGGCUACACUCAAGUUUAAAUCAAUUGCUACAAGUUCUUGAUUGCCUUUUUUCUAAUUUAGUUUAUAGGCAAAUAGAUCCAUCUAAAAGUUGAGUGAUAGGUCUGUCCAGAGGUGGGAAAUGAAGCUACAAGUACUCAGCAUCCAAAGAGAAGCAUGAGAUAUUGAUGAUUCCACAGUAAUGAUUCCAAUUGUUAAGUCAUAUUGGUUUCCAGCAACUCCACGAUUUUAUUCAAUUAUGCAAUCUCUGCCAGUAAUGAGCUUAAGAUAAGAUUCAUAAAUUGGUACAUUAUCAACCUGCGAUGGAUGAGGCCAGAAACAGAUUUGAUCCCUUUUCAGGUACUCACAGACCUUGUUCUUGAUAAUUAUAUGUUGCAAGGUUGUGUUAGUGAAUCCAGUGUUGUUAUGGAUUUGAGGCAUAUCUUUUUUGUAAUUUAACUACACUGUUACAAUUGCACAAUUAAUUUUCUGAUGCAUGUUGGAUUAUGGGAUAAAGGUUUUAUUAUUUUCGGUAUCUAA